rnacentral:rRNA from 1 species
CGGCAGCACGGACUUCGGUCUGGUGGCGAGUGGCGAACGGGUGAGUAAUACAUCGGAACGUGCCUAGUAGUGGGGGAUAACUACUCGAAAGAGUGGCUAAUACCGCAUGAGAUCUACGGAUGAAAGCAGGGGAUCGCAAGACCUUGUGCUACUAGAGCGGCCGAUGGCAGAUUAGGUAGUUGGUGGGAUAAAAGCUUACCAAGCCAACGAUCUGUAGCUGGUCUGAGAGGACGAUCAGCCACACUGGGACUGAGACACGGCCCAGACUCCUACGGGAGGCAGCAGUGGGGAAUUUUGGACAAUGGGCGAAAGCCUGAUCCAGCAAUGCCGCGUGCAGGAUGAAGGCCUUCGGGUUGUAAACUGCUUUUGUACGGAACGAAAAGCUUCGGGUUAAUACCCUGGAGUCAUGACGGUACCGUAAGAAUAAGCACCGGCUAACUACGUGCCAGCAGCCGCGGUAAUACGUAGGGUGCAAGCGUUAAUCGGAAUUACUGGGCGUAAAGCGUGCGCAGGCGGUUUUGUAAGACAGAGGUGAAAUCCCCGGGCUCAACCUGGGAACUGCCUUUGUGACUGCAAGGCUAGAGUACGGCAGAGGGGGAUGGAAUUCCGCGUGUAG